GCUAGAGAAGGAAAUGGCAAGCCACUCCAGUAUCUCUGCCAAGAAAACCCCAAAUGGGGUCAUGAACACACCUGAACAACACUGGGAAGAACUGGGAUUAAUAUAUUCUCUAGUGUUUUAUUUCAAUAUUUAAGUGCAUCUCAUGAUAACGAUAGCGAACAUUUACAAAGCACUUUCAAGUUUGCAAAGUGCUUUACAGAUAUCACAUUUGUUAAUCUAUGAUCUAACUUUACACAGAUUUGUGAUUCUGAAAUGACCCCUAUAUCAGUAAUCAGCCUUAUCUUGUUCAUUAAGAUAUGCACAAUCUCAUUUUUUGGAGAUGUGAUUUGGUGCUUAUUUCAUAAAAAAAGUCCCAUCCUCUUUUUUUGUAUGUUAAUAUUCUUUCAGUGGUGGUGUUUUGCUGUCAGUCAUGCAAUGCUAUAGUUUCUGAAGAACUGAAAAUGAUUAUCAUCUGGAGAGUAUUGGCAAGGACAUGAUAGGAGUGAGUAGACUUCAGCACAUUACAAACAUGGAGUUAUUAAGAAGUGGAAAUAAGGAUGUCAUCAAAGAAUCAUUUGAGUGAAAAAGAUGGGAUCCAUCUUCCCAGCCUCCUCCCAAAUAUGCCAUCUACAUUCUGUCCUUCUUCCCACCAGAACUUGGACUACACCCCCUGGGACCUUGGGCUCCAAUAGUAUCUUGGAUGAGACAAAAAAACUGGCUUUGGAUGUGAAUUCACCAGACAAUGAUUAUUCCGGGAGUCUGACCUGAUCUCUCUUCAUACCUGGCGUUUGAGAAAGAACACACUGAUGCCACUGCUUCUGUCAUCACAGGAUCCUUGAAGGAUGGUUACAAGAGUGAUGAGAAGAAAGGAAUCUGGGGCAGCUAGGUGGUGCAGUGGAUAGAGCACUGCCCCUGGAUUCAAGAGAAC